ensembl:snRNA U6 U6 spliceosomal RNA
UUUCUCAUUCUGCAGCACACACACUAAAAUUGGAAAGAUACAGAGGAGAUUCGCAUAACCCCUGCACAAGGAUGACAGGCAAAAAUAAAUAAUUAUUUAAAAAAUUA